rnacentral:misc_RNA from 1 species
UUUUCUUUUUUUUUUUUUUCUCCUUUUUUCCCUUUUAUAUAUUUGUGUUUGUCAUGGUACAAACCACACAAACAGCCUAUUAGCUAAUGUGAUGAGACAAUUGUUUACAUCUGAGUAUCUGACCCUUUUUAGGGCUUUUAAGGGGUUGGUGGGUGUGUGUGUGUGUUUGUGCGCAUGUUAGAUUUUCAUCUCUCCAUCCCUUAUUCUUUUAUAUAUCAUGUAGCUUCUCAAGUUAGCUGUGCAGAUGUUAAAUUUGUUGUCAAUUUCCAUGUGUCUCUUCCUCUUUUAAUUUCUUCCUUUUUUCCUUUUUUUGGGUUUAUUCUUUUCCUAUGGAUCGAGGGAUGAUUUAAGCCUAUGCCCACAUGUCCAAAAUAGUUUCUGCUCAUUGCCUUUGCUAUCGUGCUGUUGAACGGACGGAUCCGGUGCGACGCUUUGCCAUUUCACUCCCUAGUGAUUAACAUAGUGGAUGGUUUCAAAACCUCAUUUUCUUGUAUUUGUCUCAUUUCCUUGUUGUAGAUCUGAUAAAUUGUUUAUAUUUUUGCAGGAGUGUUUGGAAAAGUUCCAGAAGAUACAUUUUGCCUUAUAGAAGUCUCUUGCAAUUGCACCUUUGACCGAUGUUAAAAUUGAGCAGGAUGACAGUGACAUAGUUUCCAUUUGUAGAUUUUGCAUUGCAGGGGUGUCCUUGUAAUUAUAUUGGGCAGGCUAACUACAAAAUAUAUGUUAUUUUGUGGUCCUGCUUUCCAUUAUACUGGCACAUGUCUGGAUGCUUUUGAUUGUGUUUUAUUUAUUCUUCUUUUGUCAGAUUUACUUAAAUGGUAUAAUAAUAGUUAUAAUUAUUUUUGGAGGAUGUCUGAUAUUGGUGUUGAAUUUUUAUCUUAUUGUUGUUUGAUUCGCUGGGAGUUGAAAUAUUGUUAUGUGGGUG